rnacentral:misc_RNA from 1 species
AAGUUGGAGAAAGGAUUGGAUUACAGCAAUCGGCUGAGUGGAUUUUCUCUUAAGUUACAUAUUAAUGGUAAUGCUAUUCCAAGGCGACCACGUGGUUUUGUGGGGAGAAGUAAGUUUAAAAAUGGUCGAGCUUCGCAGUUAUCGAGGGUUCAGACUUCUGUCAUUGGAAAUGUGAAGAUAGAAGGUGAACUUGACAAAACUGAGGGUGAUCAGCUUCCAAAAAAGUGUGCUUUGUCUGGCGGAGAAGCUAAAAGUGAUGAACGGACUUCUAAAUUACCUAGUCAUUCAGCUGGCAAUGGUGUUACUGUCAAGGAAAAGAGAAAGAGAAGUGUUGACGAUUCCCGAGUAAAGAAAAAAGAUAAGGUUUCUGUUGGAGAGAGUGAUGUUGAUGCUAGGCAGAAGAA